AGAGUUUGAUCAUGGCUCAGAUUGAACGCUGGCGGCACGCCUAACACAUGCAAGUCGAACGGGUUGGAAGGCAACUUUCAACUAGUGGCGAACGGGUGAGUAACGCGUAGGAAUCUGCCCUAUAGACUGGGAUAACCUAGGGAAACUUAGGCUAAUACCGGAUAAGUUCUGAGGAAGAAAGUCUGCGCACUUAGGUAUGUUUUGAUUGGUAAGAGGUUAGAGCAUAGUUGAGUGCGUGGAGCUGUAGGAUGAGCCUGCGUUGGAUUAGCUAGUUGGUUAGGUAAAAGCUGACCAAGGCUGAGAUCCAUAGCUGUUCUGAGAGGAAGACCAGCCACACUGGGACUGAGACACGGCCCAGACUCCUACGGGAGGCAGCAGUGGGGGAUAUUGGACAAUGGGGGAAACCCUGAUCCAGCGAUGCCGCGUGUGUGAAGAAGGCCUGCGGGUUGUAAAGCACUUUAGUUGGGGAGGAGGAUACGCGCAAGCGUAGUAGACGUUACCCAAAGAAUAAGCACCGGCAAACUCUGUGCCAGCAGCCGCGGUAAUACAGAGGGUGCGAGCGUUAAUCGGAAUGACUGGGCGUAAAGGGCGUGUAGGCGGUUAUGAUAGUCUAAUGUGAAAGCCUAGGGCUUAACCUUGGGAGGCCAUUAGAUACGUUAUGACUAUAGUGUUAUAGAGGGUAGUGGAAUUUCCGGUGUAGCGGUGAAAUGCGUAGAUAUCGGGAAGAACACCAGUGGCGAAGGCGGCUACCUGGAUAGGCACUGACGCUGAGGCGCGAAAGCGUGGGUAGCGAACAGGAUUAGAUACCCUGGUAGUCCACGCAGUAAACGAUGACGACUAGCUGUUAGAUGAGGAAAACUUAUUUAGUAGCGCAGCAAACGCGAUAAGUCGUCCGCCUGGGGAGUACGGCCGCAAGGUUAAAACUCAAAGGAAUUGACGG
rnacentral:rRNA from 1 species